GAUGAACGCUAGCUACAGGCUUAACACAUGCAAGUCGAGGGGCAGCAUGGUCUUAGCUUGCUAAGGCCGAUGGCGACCGGCGCACGGGUGAGUAACACGUAUCCAACCUGCCGUCUACUCUUGGACAGCCUUCUGAAAGGAAGAUUAAUACAAGAUGGCAUCAUGAGUCCGCAUGUUCACAUGAUUAAAGGUAUUCCGGUAGACGAUGGGGAUGCGUUCCAUUAGAUAGUAGGCGGGGUAACGGCCCACCUAGUCUUCGAUGGAUAGGGGUUCUGAGAGGAAGGUCCCCCACAUUGGAACUGAGACACGGUCCAAACUCCUACGGGAGGCAGCAGUGAGGAGUAUUGGUCAAUGGGCGAGAGCCUGAACCAGCCAAGUAGCGUGAAGGAUGACUGCCCUAUGGGUUGUAAACUUCUUUUAUAAAGGAAUAAAGUCGGGUAUGCAUACCCGUU
rnacentral:rRNA from 1 species